rnacentral:rRNA from 1 species
GAACGCUGGAGGAGGAGCUCGGUCUUUUUGGGAUGAGUGUGACGGGUGAGUAACGCGUAGUAACUGCCUGGUAGCGGGGGAUACUAUUGGAAACGAUAGCUAAUACCGCAUAAUAGUAGAUGUUGCAUGACAUUUGCUUAAAAGGUGCAAUUGCAUCACUACCAGAUGGACCUGCGUUGUAUUAGCUAGUUGGUGAGGUAACGGCUCACCAAGGCAACGAUACAUAGCCGACCUGAGAGGGUGAUCGGCCACACUGGGACUGAGACACGGCCCAGACUCCUACGGGAGGCAGCAGUAGGGAAUCUUCGGCAAUGGACGGAAGUCUGACCGAGCAACGCCGCGUGAGUGAAGAAGGUUUUCGGAUCGUAAAGCUCUGUUGUAAGAGAAGAACGAGUGUGAGAGUAGAAAGUUCACACUGUGACGGUAUCUUACCAG